rnacentral:rRNA from 1 species
GUUUGAUCCUGGCUCAGGAUGAACGCUGGCGGCGUGCCUAAUACAUGCAAGUCGAACGAGUUCUGAUUAUUGAAAGGUGCUUGCAUCUUGAUUUAAUUUUGAACGAGUGGCGGACGGGUGAGUAACACGUGGGUAACCUGCCCUUAAGUGGGGGAUAACAUUUGGAAACAGAUGCUAAUACCGCAUAAAUCCAAGAACCGCAUGGUUCUUGGCUGAAAGAUGGCGUAAGCUAUCGCUUUUGGAUGGACCCGCGGCGUAUUAGCUAGUUGGUGAGGUAACGGCUCACCAAGGCAAUGAUACGUAGCCGAACUGAGAGGUUGAUCGGCCACAUUGGGACUGAGACACGGCCCAAACUCCUACGGGAGGCAGCAGUAGGGAAUCUUCCACAAUGGACGCAAGUCUGAUGGAGCAACGCCGCGUGAGUGAAGAAGGCUUUCGGGUCGUAAAACUCUGUUGUUGGAGAAGAAUGGUCGGCAGAGUAACUGUUGUCGGCGUGACGGUAUCCAACCAGAAAGCCACGGCUAACUACGUGCCAGCAGCCGCGGUAAUACGUAGGUGGCAAGCGUUAUCCGGAUUUAUUGGGCGUAAAGCGAGCGCAGGCGGUUUUUUAAGUCUGAUGUGAAAGCCCUCGGCUUAACCGAGGAAGUGCAUCGGAAACUGGGAAACUUGAGUGCAGAAAAGGACAGUGGAACUCCAUGUGUAGCGGUGAAAUGCGUAGAUAUAUGGAAGAACACCAGUGGCGAAGGCGGCUGUCUGGUCUGUAACUGACGCUGAGGCUCGAAAGCAUGGGUAGCGAACAGGAUUAGAUACCCUGGUAGUCCAUGCCGUAAACGAUGAAUGCUAGGUGUUGGAGGGUUUCCGCCCUUCAGUGCCGCAGCUAACGCAUUAAGCAUUCCGCCUGGGGAGUACGACCGCAAGGUUGAAACUCAAAGGAAUUGACGGGGGCCCGCACAAGCGGUGGAGCAUGUGGUUUAAUUCGAAGCAACGCGAAGAACCUUACCAAAUCUUGACAUCCUUUGACAACUCUAGAGAUAGAGCCUUCCCCUUCGGGGGACAAAGUGACAGGUGGUGCAUGGUUGUCGUCAGCUCGUGUCGUGAGAUGUUGGGUUAAGUCCCGCAACGAGCGCAACCCUUAAGCUUAGUUGCCAUCAUUAAGUUGGGCACUCUAAGUUGACUGCCGGUGACAAACCGGAGGAAGGUGGGGAUGACGUCAAAUCAUCAUGCCCCUUAUGACCUGGGCUACACACGUGCUACAAUGGAUGGUACAACGAGUUGCGAGACCGCGAGGUCAAGCUAAUCUCUUAAAGCCAUUCUCAGUUCGGACUGUAGGCUGCAACUCGCCUACACGAAGUCGGAAUCGCUAGUAAUCGCGGAUCAGCACGCCGCGGUGAAUACGUUCCCGGGCCUUGUACACACCGCCCGUCACACCAUGAGAGUUUGUAACACCCGAAGCCGGUGGCGUAACCCUUUUAGGGAGCGAGCCGUCUAAGGUGGGACAAAUGAUUAGGGUGAAGUCGUAACAAGGUAGCCGUAGGAGAACCUGCGGCUG